GGAAUUCAGAAAAUGAUACCCUAACAUGAAGACCCGGGAAGGAAACUCUCUCUCUGACCUUCCCUUGACCUCUUGUCUCUCACUUAUUAUUCUCCCCUGAGGCUAGCCACAGAAACUAGAAUUCCUCUGCCUCAAGGUGGUUCACAGAACCAAGACCCCUUUUCCCUAAAGGAAGCCAUAAAGUUUAAAAAUAUUACCCUAACUUUCCCCCACCUUUCUAUGAAACAGCUAGCUGUAAAAAAAUUACCCUCAUUCCAGAGGAAUCCUACUCCAUCCCUAGGGGGAAGAAAUGCUACAAUAGAGAGGUCAAGAGGAAUCUAAACAGACAGGCCUUGCUGAGGUUUCCCUGCUCAGUCUGUUACUACUAGAGCUUACCCUUUUUAUCUCAUCACAUUUCUACAUGGUUGUUCCAGCUUCGUCAAACCUAAGCAUAUAAUCAGAUAGUUUCCAUUGUAUCUUUGAGUCUUCAUUCUGAAGACUCCCAUGUCAUAUAAAACUGUUAUUGAACACAUCUGUUAUGCUUUUCUCUUGUUAACCUCUCUUUGUUACAGGGGUGUCAGCUGUGACCCUCGAAGGAAAGGAAUCACCCUCUUUCUGACCUUAUACCACCUUCAGCAGGGAUGAAGGCAGUGAGAGAAAAGUUAGUUAAAAAUUUUUCCUCUGGAAUGUUAGAAGAGUCACUCCCAGGACCUAUAAGAGGAAGUGAACCCAGGCAGCUUAAGGUAUAGUCUGUGGUGGUGAUUGACUGAUUCGUGCAUGUCCAUGCAAUUUGGCGCAUUCAGCUGCGUGCUUGCGGAUGUGGAUGUAUUUCACAGAAGCAGCAGCAGCCUGCCUUCCCUUCCCUGGAUUCCAUCUGCUGUGCAAAACAAGAUCUGUAGUCAUUCCCAGGUACGCGGGACUUCUCUAGGCUAGAAGGUCUGUACAGCACAGCCCAAGGAACUUCCUUUCUAUGAAUUUUAGUUUAGAAUACAGGAGAGUCAACGCUUUCCCAUGUUGUGAUGUUUACCAUGUGCAAUUUACUGUGAGACAAGUUAACCAGACCUGCAUAAAGAAUAUCCAAAAAAUCUGAUCAACAUAGCCAAUCUAUAGCACUCAGAUCCAGAGCACUCAGAUCCAGAGUUCUUCCAACCUCUAUAGCCAAAGACUGGACAUUUUUAUCCCAUUUUUUUUUCUAACUUUGUUGGAUAAUAAUAUUGAAUUCUAGGACUUGGGUCACUUUCCUUGUUUUCUGGUUUUUCUUGUACAUUUUUUUGUUGUUUUACAAUUUUCUUUUUAUUAAUAUUAUCCAGAUAUGGAACUAUAUAUUGCAAACCUGUUUUGUUUCUAGCCUGACCAUCUCUUUCUGCCUCUGCACCAUUGAUUAGACCCACCUUUGAUGAUGGCAGACACAGCCACACAUGACUAUCAGCUCUGGUUAAUGUCCCUGGCUUAUUUCAGGAUCAUUGCCAUGACAGAAACAUGUCAGCAAUGGGUGAUUUCCACUGAACAAUGACUUGUAGACUGUGGCCAUGCAAGCAGAGCAAAGAGAAAAGAUCAGCAAUUAUCCAGUGGAUGUGAUCCAUGCUGACAUGCAAUCUGGAUAAUUCAAAUAGAAACAACUUCUUUUGCCUCACUGGCAGGUUUGGGGCUUGAUUUAGUGAGAUCAUUGUUUAACUUUCUUUGCCUGUAGAAAUGUAGUACAUGUGUUUGCUGGUUAAGUGAGGGUUUGGGG
rnacentral:lncRNA from 1 species